UCAGAGCUGUUAGCUGAGUUUCAGGCUAGACGGGCCCUCAAUCAGCAGCGUCGUGCACCCCAGGCUCCUUAUCAGCAGCAAGUGAGGGGUGCUUCUGCAUCUGUUCUCUCUCAGCCCGCUGUUGCUGCAACCCAGCCUUGGGUUCUGGACUCUGGGGCUUCUUUCCAUGUGACCUCUGAUCGCUCUCAGCUUGUGUCUUGCCAGCCAGUGCGGGAUGGUGCCUCUGUUCAGACUGCUGAUGGACCGUCAGAGCAAGAGGGUCAUUGGAACUAGCCAUCGCCGUAGAGGAUCCACAUCCCUCUACAUCCUUGACACCUUACACCUUCCUUCAGCUUCCACCACAUCCGCGUUCCGGAUGGCUGCAUCAACAUCAAGAUCCACUUCGCCGUUUUCUUUUGCCCAGUGGCACCAUCGCUUAGGUCACUUGUGUGAUUCUCGUUUAUCUACCCUUGUUCGACAAGGUGUUUUGGGUCAUGUUUCCAUAGAUGCUGGUUUUCACUGUAAGGGUUGUAAGCUAGGGAAACAAAUACAGCUUCCAUACUCUUCCAGCACUA